rnacentral:rRNA from 1 species
CAAUAGCGUAUAUUAAAAUUGUUGUGGUUAAAAAGCUCGUAGUUGGAUCUGCGUCCGGUGAACCUAGUCGCCUUAGUGGUUGUACUGGGCCUACUGGACUAAUCAUUUGGUUUUCCAUUGAUGCUCUUCACUGAGUGUCUCUGGUGGCCAGAACGUUUACUUUGAAAAAAUUAGAGUGCUUAAAGCAGGCUCUGUGCCUGAACAUUCGUGCAUGGAAUAAUAAAAGAGGUCUUUGCAGCCUUUUAUUGGUUAUUGUUGCAAGGAAAUGAUCGAAGGGGACGGACGGGGGCAUUCGUAUUGCGACGUUAGAGGUGAAAUUCUUGGAUCGUCGCAAGACGGACUACUG